AAGUCGUAACAAGGUUUCCGUAGGUGAACCUGCGGAAGGAUCAUUACUGAACGAAAUGGGUGGCAAGGCUGUCGCUGGCUCGAAUGAGCAUGUGCACGUCUUUUGCUGCUUGCUUCAUUCUCUUCUCCACCUGUGCACUCUUUGUAGACACUCGGGAUGUGAGAGAGGUUAGCAUUGAUUGUUGACCUCUGUCUGGGUGUUUAUGUAUUUUUUCGACAUACACGUUUGAAUGUCUAUAAAAUGAAAAUGUAGGCUUUUGUCAGCCUUUAAAUGAUAAAAUACAA
rnacentral:misc_RNA from 1 species